UCUCGUCGUCCUUUGCAUUGGACGUCCUAUGCAAUCUUGGCCUCUUCUUAACCUGAAAAGGGGUAUGGAAUGUGUAACAUGUAUGUUCUGAUCCAAAAAGUACAUAUGUGGUAACACUUAUACUUACAUUAUCCUUGCAAUCAAUGAUAUAUUUAAUCGCAUCAGGUCAACUUCCAAAAUGCCACUACGGCCAUACACGGUGCUCUCCCAAUGUUUAAGCUAAAAAGUGGCACGAAGGGAAUUGUAUUGUUACAUGUUUAUUAAAUAUUCAAUGGCAACAUUUGUUCAGCCGGUCAAAACAAGCAUUGAUGCCUUCCGUAAUUAAGUCAACAAUAUUGUUCACCUUUGAAUCAGUAUAGUAUUGCAAUCUAGGGGUCUUCAAGGAGUCAUCGCCUUUCAAAGUGCAAGCUUGGGUUGCGAAGUACAAUACGAAGAUGUUAUUGUACUUAAUAAUCUUGACACAAAGAGUCCUCGUCUCAUAACACCAGAAGUGUUACAAAUUAUACAUGGCAUUCCACGGGAUACAGCUAAAGUGCCUAAGGAUAAGGAUAUUCUUGAUUGCCCAGGUGUUGAACAGGUGGAGCUUCAACCAUUUAUUUUGGCUGCCAAUCCUUAGACCAUUGACAAGAACAAUAUUUCUAUUAAUGAUUGUAAAAAAGCAUGUUCAGCUGCUAGGGGGAAUGAUAACAUUGGGAUGGAAGUCAGGCUUUUUCUAUUAGCUGUGUUCAACUUUUCGUCAUUUAAAACCUCUUCUCUUUAUCUUAGUAAAAAGAACGAGGAAUAUGUCUUUGACAUGAAGAAAAUAGGUACCAAUGACUAGUGCAAGCUAUUAUUUGAUCAUUUGAAGCAUGACAUUCAAACAUUCUAAGACAGUAAGACUGUUUGAAGCCCGGUUUCCUUCCUUGUAAGCAUCUUUGAAAUCUCUAUUUUUUUAGAACAACAAUGUUGUAUGACUAACAGUAACCGGCUAUUUUUUUCCAGACAACUUGUACUGCGAUGCAACCACUGGCAACGACGACGACACCUUGAAGACCCUAGAUUGCAAUACUAUACCGACUCAGAGGUGUAUAAUAUUGUUGACUUAAUUACGGAAGGUAUCAAGCUUAAACAUUGGAAGAGCACAUUGUACGCCUGUAGUGGCAUUUUGGAAGUUGGACCUAAUGCGAUUAAAUAUAUCAUCGAUUGCAAGGAUAAUGUUAAGAAGAUGCCUAGAUUGCAUAGGACGUCCGAUGCAAAGUACGACAAGAGUGGAAUGGUUCUGUUGAAUCACGAUUGCAAGAAGAAAAGGAAGAGCAAGAAGAAUGAGCGCCCUUUCUAGGAAGAGGAUGACUCAUUUGUGCGUGUUCCUAGCAUGAAAAAAUUGCAUACUGAUUGUUUUAAGAGGAUUUCAGGUGAUAUUCCAAGUGAUAAGGUUAUGGAAGCCAUCAACAUUAUAGAAAAAAUUUAGUUAUCGUGGGUAACACGUAUUCAAAGUGUAACCGACAUAGAAAUGGAGCAAUGUGCCCCUAAAUUGAAGGAAUUAUUUAAGAGACAUCGUCAGGCCAAAGAAAAUCGAUUAGAUACAAUUCUAUGACAAGCAUGUCUUGUCCAAGGUGAACAUGAAAAAAAAAAGAUGGUCAAAAGAUUGUCGUGGAUAUAAAUUCAUUUCCGAUAACUGAAUAUGAGUUUGUAAGAGAGUUUUGGAUGAGUAAUUGGGUAGUCCACAUCGUGACA